rnacentral:rRNA from 1 species
UAGCAUAUGCUUGACUUGGAGAUUAAGCCAUGCAUGUCUAAGUAUAAGUUAUAUAUGGCGAAACUGCGAAUGGCUCAUUAAAACAGUUAUAAUUUAUUUGAUGAUUUUUCUACAUGGAUAACCGUGGGAAACUAGGGCUAAUACAUGCAUAAGACCUCUUCAGGUUGUAUUUAUUAGUUUUAAACCAGUAUGGUCUACCAUAUUGUGAGGAAUCAUAAUAACUGAUCGAAGCGCAGUAACAUGCGCUACAUCAUAUAAGUUUCUGCCCUAUCAGCUUGAUGGUAGUGUAUUGGACUACCACGGCGGUCACGGGUAGCGGGGAAUUAGGGUUCUAUUCCGGAGAGGGAGCCUGAGAAACGGCUACCAUUUCUACGGAAGGCAGCAGGCGCGUAAAUUACCCAAUCCUGACUCAGGGAGGUAGUUAAUAGACAUAACAAUUCCGGCCUUUUAGGUUUUGGAACGGUAAUGAGUGCAAUUUAAAUCAUUGCAUGAAAUCUAUU